rnacentral:rRNA from 1 species
CCACCCUUUAAUGUUUGAUGUUCUAACGUGGACCCGUGAUCCGGGUUGCGGACAGUGUCUGGUGGGUAGUUUGACUGGGGCGGUCUCCUCCUAAAGAGUAACGGAGGAGCACGAAGGUUGGCUAAUCCUGGUCGGACAUCAGGAGGUUAGUGCAAUGGCAUAAGCCAGCUUGACUGCGAGCGUGACGGCGCGAGCAGGUGCGAAAGCAGGUCAUAGUGAUCCGGUGGUUCUGAAUGGAAGGGCCAUCGCUCAACGGAUAAAAGGUACUCCGGGGAUAACAGGCUGAUACCGCCCAAGAGUUCAUAUCGACGGCGGUGUUUGGCACCUCGAUGUCGGCUCAUCACAUCCUGGGGCUGAAGUAGGUCCCAAGGGUAUGGCUGUUCGCCAUUUAAAGUGGUACGCGAGCUGGGUUUAGAACGUCGUGAGACAGUUCGGUCCCUAUCUGCCGUGGGCGCUGGAGAACUGAGGGGGGCUGCUCCUAGUACGAGAGGACCGGAGUGGACGCAUCACUGGUGUUCGGGUUGUCAUGCCAAUGGCACUGCCCGGUAGCUAAAUGCGGAAGAGAUAAGUGCUGAAAGCAUCUAAGCACGAAACUUGCCCCGAGAUGAGUUCUCCCUGAGACUUAGAGUCUCCUGAAGGAACGUUGAAGACGACGACGUUGAUAGGCCGGGUGUGUAAGCGCAGCGAUGCGUUGAGCUAACCGGUACUAAUGAACCGUGAGGCUUAACCUU